GACCGCUCCAGUGGCCUAGUGGUCAGAGCAUCUGCUCUAGAUGCAGGAGUUCAUGGGUUCAAACCCCAACUGAGUCA